GACGAACGCUGGCGGCGUGCUUAACACAUGCAAGUCGAGCGACGCUCUUCCUUCGGGGAGAUGACGGAGCGGCGAACGGGUGAGUAACACGUGGGCAACCUGCCCCUAGCUCUGGGACAACACCGGGAAACCGGUGCUAAUACCGGAUACGACAUCGAGCGGCAUCUCUCGAUGUGGAAAGUUUUUUCGGCUAGGGAUGGGCCCGCGGCCUAUCAGCUUGUUGGUGGGGUAAUGGCCCACCAAGGCGACGACGGGUAGCCGGCCUGAGAGGGCGACCGGCCAACCUGGGACUGAGACACGGCCCAGACUCCUACGGGAGGCAGCAGUGGGGAAUAUUGCGCAAUGGGCGAAAGCCUGACGCAGCGACGCCGCGUGAGGGAUGACGGCCUUCGGGUUGUAAACCUCUUUCAGCAGGGACGAAUUCAGACGGUACCUGCAGAAGAAGCACCGGCCAACUACGUG
rnacentral:rRNA from 1 species